rnacentral:misc_RNA from 1 species
CGCACGUGGACGCAGGGCUGCACGUUCUUCACGCGCAUGGACUACCUCGCGCCGCUGUUCAACGAGCUGGCCUACUGCCUCGGGAUCGAGAAGCUGCUCGACAUCCAGGCACCC